rnacentral:rRNA from 1 species
GUUAACGCUGGCGGCGUGCCUAACACAUGCAAGUCGAACGGUUCUAAGCGCGAGCUUAGGAUAGUGGCGAACGGGUGAGUAAAAGGUAGGAAUCUACCCCUUGGACGGAGAUAGCUACUGGAAACGGUAGGUAAACUUCGAUAAGCCCGAGAGGGGAAAGUGGUGAGACAGCCGAGGGAUGAGCCUACUCUCCAUCAGGUAGUUGGUGAGAUAAAAGCUUACCAAGCCGAUGACGGAUAACCGGUGUGAGAGCAUGAACGGUCACAAGGGCAUUGAGAGACGGGCCCUACUCCUACGGGAGGCAGCAGUGGGGAAUCUUGGACAAUGGGCGAAAGCCUGAUCCAGCGACGCCGCGUGGAGGAAGAAGUCCUUCGGGAUGUAAACUUCUGAACUAGCCGAAUAAAAGGCCUGUGGACACACAGGAGAAGAAAGUAGGCUAGGAAAAGUCCCGGCUAACUACGUG